GACGAACGCUGGCGGCGUGCUUAACACAUGCAAGUCGAACGGAAAGGCCCUGCUUUUGUGGGGUGCUCGAGUGGCGAACGGGUGAGUAACACGUGAGUAACCUGCCCUUGACUUUGGGAUAACUUCAGGAAACUGGGGCUAAUACCGGAUAGGAGCUCCUGCUGCAUGGUGGGGGGUGGAAAGUUUCGGCGGUUGGGGAUGGACUCGCGGCUUAUCAGCUUGUUGGUUGGGUAGUGGCUUACCAAGGCUUUGACGGGUAGCCGGCCUGAGAGGGUGACCGGCCACAUUGGGACUGAGAUACGGCCCAGACUCCUACGGGAGGCAGCAGUGGGGAAUAUUGCACAAUGGGCGGAAGCCUGAUGCAGCAACGCCGCGUGCGGGAUGACGGCCUUCGGGUUGUAAACCGCUUUCGCCUGUGACGAAGCGUGAGUGACGGUAAUGGGUAAAGAAGCACCGGCUAACUACGUG
rnacentral:rRNA from 1 species